CUGCUGCUACAAGGGCCUUUGUUAGUUCAGCUCAAAACCUCUCGGGUGGUAAUACAAAUGAUGUUCUGCCGUCGCCGAAAACCCUUACUUUGCCGCCGGAUUUGGUUAUUUUAAGUCAACGGUCGCGUUCCAAGGGCAGGAGGCUGGCUUUUAUGGAGUGAAUGAUUCCGGGAUUAGUGAUGCCGAAAGGAGGGCCACGACUCUAUCUUCUUGUCCAGUUCACGCCAUUCGGAGUUGCGAGGAGUUUGAAGGAGAGUACUUGGAACAUAUAAGAACAACUCCGGGAAACUUGUGAUUCCUACUGGUUUGCUUCCUCCUGAGAUACCUGCAAAAGGGGUAAAAAGGGAAAUUUCCACUGCUGAUGGGAUCUUUGAAUGGCUCGAUAAGCAAAAAACCAGGUCAGUUGUGUUUGUAGGGUUUGCGAGUGAGUGUAAGUUGAGUAAUGAGCAAAAAUUCAAAAGGGCUCAGAUAAUUAAGGAACACGGUGCUAAGAUAUGACCACUCAAUAGUCUCGAAAAUUAUAUUUUGGAAUGCUACAUUUCGGUACAGAGAAGAUUUUUUCAUGAAAAUAUGAGUCACACUAGUUUGUCAAAGGUUUUGUUGAGUUGAGAAGAGCUCUGAAACUAGGAUCCAUUGUGAGGUAUCCAUUGCUAUGUGGUACAUGUAGAAACGUUGACACUGACUUUUUCGUUAACACAAGUCUCAACGUUAAACCUUUCGUUUUUACUCUUUGAUCCAAGGUUAAACCUCUUAUGUGUUGUAAAAAAUUAUUUGGGGAUCAUCAUUCAUUGUAUGGGGGUGAGAUUGGAAUGUUGCGUAAAUCGGGUUUCACAAAUCUAACCACACAUUGUCAUGCAAUUAUGAUUGGUUAAGUCUUUUUAUAGAAAAGAGAAUCAAAACAAUUGCA
rnacentral:lncRNA from 1 species